UUGGAGGGCAAGUCUGGUGCCAGCAGCCGCGGUAAUUCCAGCUCCAAUAGCGUAUAUUAAAGUUGUUGCCGUUAAAAAGCUCGUAGUUGAACCUUGGGCCUGGCUGACCUGUCCUCCUAAUCGAGCGCACGGGUUCGGUCGGGCCUUUCCUUCUGGGGAUCCCGAUGCCCUUCACUGGGCGUCGUGGGGAACCAGGACUUUUACCUUGAAAAAAUUAGAGUGUUCAAAGCAGGCCUUUGCUCGAAUACAUUAGCAUGGAAUAAUAGAAUAGGACAGAGGUU
rnacentral:rRNA from 2 species